rnacentral:rRNA from 1 species
GAUUAACGCUGGCGGCGUGCAUAACACAUGCAAGUCGAACGAUGAAACUUAAAUGAUUUCUUCGGAAUGAACUUAAGUGGAUUAGUGGCGGACGGGUGAGUAACGCUUGAGUAACCUGCCUUACACAAGGGGAUAGCCGUUGGAAACGACGAAUAAUACCGUAUGAUGUUUCUAUCUCGCAUGAGAUAUUAACCAAAGGGUUAGCGGUGUAAGAUGGACUUGUGUCUGAUUGGCUAGUUGGUGAGAAAAAAGCCCACCAAGGCAACGAUCAGUAGCCGGCUUGGGAGAGUGUACGGCAACAUUGGGACUGAGACAAGGCCCAGACUCUUACGGGAGGCAGCAGUGGGGAAUUUUGCACACUGGGGGAAACAAGGAUGCAGCGACGCCGCGUGAUUUAGAAGGCCUUCGGGUUGUAAAAAUCUUUUGUAUAGGAAGAAAAUGACAGUACUAUACGAAUAAGGUCCGGCUAAUUACGUG